CAGGAUGUGCCUCCAACUGGCCAGGGUCCGAGCGCUCCCCACCUGGUCUGACAAAGUGCCAAGCAAGCCAAUCCAAGUUGCACCUUGCCUUCCAAGAAUAAUCCUUGCCUUCCAAGUUCUCACUUGCCUUCCAAGAAUAAAUCCUUGCCUUCCAAACGUUCCCUUGCCUUCCAAGAGCCCCAUGUUUGGAACUCACGACCUCUGCUCUGCCAGGUUUGACAGCGUCCGUCCUUUGCCAGUGGAGAAGUGCCCUGAGGGGCUAGUAAUUUAUAUAUACAUAAUGUGUAUGGAAUGUCAU
rnacentral:lncRNA from 1 species